ACAGGGCAAACAGGCUCUAGGUUCAAGGCCCAAACUGAACUAAAAUGCCUGCUUACGUUGAAGCUUUACUUUUUUGUCUUAUCUUUUUAGUAAAAAACAGUAACAUUUGACUCUUAAAUACAAGCUACAAUGCAUACCUCAUCUGUUGCAGGCACAGUAAAUACUCGAUUCCUUAGCUUCAAGAAUGUCCUUUGCCGCUUUCACACUUGCCACCCUUAACCGCUAACGCUAAUUGCCAAGGAUAUCUAAAUACGCACAAAGAAGUGCAUACUAUAACUGCGCGUAAUUGUAUACUAAUGCAAUCAAUUAAAGUUAGGCGCGGUGCACACGUACUCAAGACAAUAAUCGCAAGCGCUGUUUCCUUUGAUAUUAUUAAAUUGCUCACAUUUAUUAUACACAAGCAAGAACGUUGCAAAUGUACAUAAAGCGGGUUGGAGCUGGGGCUGGGGGUGGAGUCUGGGCCGACUGGAUGCUUUGCUGAUGAGUUCAAUCAAGUUCAUUUUAGACUUCAUUUGCAGCGAUGGGCGGCAGUAAAGCGACAUAAAAAAUAUAUAAGAAGAAGUAGGAGAGUAAGAAAAAAAAGAGGAGCAAAAAAGGCCAAAUCAAAUCAUAAAAAAUAAUAUGCCGCGCAAGGGCGCAACAGGAUUUCCUUUUCUGCAUGUGUCUGUGCGGCGGAGACUUUUCAGAGCAGGCAUCAAGAAAAUCAACAAGCUUUUACCUUUCGCAUGCAAAACAGAAUGAGAACAGGAAGUAUGUCUGCCCG